rnacentral:rRNA from 1 species
GACGAACGCUGGCGGCGUGCCUAACACAUGCAAGUCGAGCGGAAAUAAUUAAAGUUUACUUUGAUUAUUUUAGCGGCGGACGGGUGAGUAACACGUGGGCAACCUGCCCUUGAGAGGGGGAUAACACAGAGAAAUUUGUGCUAAUACCGCAUAAUAUUUAGACUUCGCCUGGAGUUUAAAUCAAAGGAGUAAUCCGCUCAAGGAUGGGCCCGCGGCGCAUUAGCUAGUUGGUGAGGUAAUGGAUCACCAAGGCGACGAUGCGUAGCCGACCUGAGAGGGUGAUCGGCCACAUUGGAACUGGGAUACGUUCCAGACUCCUCCGGGAGGCAGCAGUGGGGAAUAUUGCGCAAUGGGGGAAGCCCUGACGCAGCAACGCCGCGUGAGCGAUGAAGGCCUUCGGGUUGUAAAGCUCUGUCUUUGGGGACGAUAAUGACGGUACCCAAGGAGGAAGCCACGGCUAACUACGUGCCAGCAGCCGCAGUAACAC